AUUUUGCUUCGGCAAUAUCACAUCAGUCAAACUGCAAAAAUGCGAUAGAGGAUGUCGGUAUUUUUCAGAAACACUUCACGAUGGAUCAGUAUGAGCCAGCAAUUCUGGCACAAACUGGGAUCUAGAAACUCAAGCCAAAUGCGGUUCCUUCUAUAUUUGCGCAUCGGCCUAUUCCGAAAGAGCGCAAGCCACCCCGCAAAAGGGGGAAUGAAACGGUUCCUGCUGUAUCCUUGGAUGAGCCAGAAACGUCAGUGGGGAGGGCCCCGGACGCUGAACCAGUGGGCAGUUUAUUUUCUGCCUCCUCGGACAACACAGCAACGUCAAUAGACCGCGACCCUGAACCAGUGGGCAGCCCAU